UGGGGAAUAUUGCACAAUGGGCGCAAGCCUGAUGCAGCCAUGCCGCGUGUGUGAAGAAGGCCUUCGGGUUGUAAAGCACUUUCAGCGAGGAGGAAGGUGGUGAACUUAAUACGUUCAUCAAUUGACGUUACUCGCAGAAGAAGCACCGGCUAACUCCGUGCCAGCAGCCGCGGUAAUACGGAGGGUGCAAACGUUAAUCGGAAUUACUGGGCGUAAAGCGCACGCAGGCGGUUUGUUAAGUCAGAUGUGAAAUCCCCGGGCUCAACCUGGGAACUGCAUUUGAAACUGGCAAGCUAGAGUCUCGUAGAGGGGGGUAGAAUUCCAGGUGUAGCGGUGAAAUGCGUAGAGAUCUGGAGGAAUACCGGUGGCGAAGGCGGCCCCCUGGACGAAGACUGACGCUCAGGUGCGAAAAGCGUGGGGAGCAAACAGGAUUAGAUACCCUGGUAGUCCACGCUGUAAAACGAUGUCGAUUUUGGAGGUUGUGCCCUUGAGGCGUGGCUUCCGGAGCUAACGCGUUAAA
rnacentral:rRNA from 1 species